GGGAGGCAGCAGUGGGGAAUAUUGCACAAUGGGCGCAAGCCUGAUGCAGCGACGCCGCGUGAGGGAUGAAGGCCUUCGGGUUGUAAACCUCUUUCAGUAGGGAAGAAGCGAAAGUGACGGUACCUGCAGAAGAAGCGCCGGCUAACUACGUGCCAGCAGCCGCGGUAAUACGUAGGGCGCAAGCGUUAUCCGGAAUUAUUGGGCGUAAAGAGCUCGUAGGCGGUUUGUCGCGUCUGCCGUGAAAGUCCGGGGCUUAACUCCGGAUCUGCGGUGGGUACGGGCAGACUUGAGUGAUGUAGGGGAGACUGGAAUUCCUGGUGUAGCGGUGAAAUGCGCAGAUAUCAGGAGGAACACCGAUGGCGAAGGCAGGUCUCUGGGCAUUAACUGACGCUGAGGAGCGAAAGCAUGGGGAGCGAACAGGAUUAGAUACCCUGGUAGUCCAUGCCGUAAACGUUGGGCACUAGGUGUGGGGGACAUUCCACGUUUUCCGCGCCGUAGCUAACGCAUUAAGUGCCCCGCCUGGGGAGUACGGCCGCAAGGCUAAAACUCAAAGGAAUUGACGGGGGCCCGCACAAGCGGCGGAGCAUGCGGAUUAAUUCGAUGCAACGCGAAGAACCUUACCAAGGCUUGACAUGAACCGGAACGGCGCAGAGAUGUGUCGGCCACUUGUGGCCGGUUUACAGGUGGUGCAUGGUUGUCGUCAGCUCGUGUCGUGAGAUGUUGGGUUAAGUCCCGCAACGAGCGCAACCCUCGUUCCAUGUUGCCAGCGGGUUAUGCCGGGGACUCAUGGGAGACUGCCGGGGUCAACUCGGAGGAAGGUGGGGACGACGUCAAAUCAUCAUGCCCCUUAUGUCUUGGGCUUCACGCAUGCUACAAUGGCCGGUACAAAGGGUUGCGAUGCUGUGAGGUGGAGCUAAUCCCAAAAAGCCGGUCUCAGUUCGGAUUGAGGUCUGCAACUCGACCUCAU
rnacentral:rRNA from 1 species